UACGUAGGGGGCUAGCGUUGUCCGGAAUCAUUGGGCGUAAAGCGCGUGUAGGCGGUCCGGUAAGUCCGCUGUGAAAGUCGGGGGCUCAACCUCGAGAUGUCGGCUGAAACCAUCUGGCUAGAGUCCGGAAGAGGAGAGUGGAAUUCCCGGUGUAGCGGUGAAAUGCGCAGAUAUCAGGAGGAACACCGAUGGCGAAGGCAGUUCUCUGGGCCGUAACUGACGCUGAGGGGCGAAAGCGUGGGGAGCGAACAGG
rnacentral:rRNA from 1 species